UAAGUAGGGGGCAAGCGUUGUCCGGAUUUAUUGGGCGUAAAGAGCGUGUAGGCGGCCAUACAGGUCAGCUGUGAAAACUCGAGGCUCAACCUCGAGACGUCGGUUGAAACCGUGUGGCUAGAGUCCGGAAGAGGAGAGUGGAAUUCCCGGUGUAGCGGUGAAAUGCGCAGAUAUCGGGAAGAACACCCGUGGCGAAGGCGGCUCUCUGGGACGGUACUGACGCUGAGACGCGAAAAGCGUGGGGAGCGAACAGG
rnacentral:rRNA from 1 species